rnacentral:rRNA from 1 species
GACGAACGCUGGCGGCGUGCUUAACACAUGCAAGUCGAACGGAAAGGCCCUGCUUUUGUGGGGUGCUCGAGUGGCGAACGGGUGAGUAACACGUGAGUAACCUGCCCUUUACUUUGGGAUAACUUCAGGAAACUGGGGCUAAUACCGGAUAGGAGCUCCUGCUGCAUGGUGGGGGUUGGAAAGUUUCGGCGGUUGGGGAUGGACUCGCGGCUUAUCAGCUUGUUGGUGGGGUAGUGGCUUACCAAGGCUUUGACGGGUAGUCGGCCUGAGAGGGUGACCGGCCACAUUGGGACUGAGAUACGGCCCAGACUCCUACGGGAGGCAGCAGUGGGGAAUAUUGCACAAUGGGCGGAAGCCUGAUGCAGCAACGCCGCGUGCGGGAUGGCGGCCUUCGGGUUGUAAACCGCUUUCGCCUGUGACGAAGCGUGAGUGACGGUAAUGGGUAAAGAAGCACCGGCUAACUACGUG